rnacentral:rRNA from 1 species
GUACCGCUGUGACUAGCAUAUCAAUAAGCGGAGGAAAAGAAACUAACAAGGAUUCCCCUAGUAACGGCGAGUGAAGCGGGAAGAGCUCAAAUUUGAAAUCUUAAAGGGUUUCCCUUUACGAAUUGUAGUUUAAAGAAGUGUUUUCUGUUGAGGUUUUGGUAAAAGUUCUUUGGAAUAGGACAUCAUAGAGGGUGAGAAUCCCGUAUUUGACCUUUACUUUCAACUUUGUGAUACACUAUCAAAGAGUCGGAUUGUUUGGGAAUGCAGUCCAAAAUGGGUGGUAAAUUUCAUCUAAAGCUAAAUAUUGGCGAGAGACCGAUAGCGAACAAGUACCGUGAGGGAAAGAUGAAAAGGACUUUGAAAAGAGAGUUAAACAGUACGUGAAAUUGUCAAAAGGGAAGCGUUUGACACCAGUGUUGUUUUUCUGAAAAUCAAUUAAAGAACUGUUUAUGCUAAGUUGUUUAGACUUUAUCAGCUAUCUGUUUAGUUUUGAGCUUUUCUUUAAUGCACUUUUCAGUUAACAAGUCAACAUCAAUUUCUUUUGCUGUAAAAAAGCUUGAGGAAGGUGGCUUGAGAUUCGUCUUAAGUGUUUAUAGCCUCUUGCCUAUGCAGUCGGAGAGAUUGAGGUCUGCAGCGUAGAUCCUUCGGGGCUAAAUGCAUUUGUGCUAAGUUAUAGCAUUUUAUAGACAACUUGUUGACUAUGAUUUGUCUUGUAGCUUACUCGCUUAUGUUAUUUUACCUACGCUUAGGAUGUUGACUGAUAUGUAGUCGUA